rnacentral:rRNA from 1 species
UCGAGAAUCUUUCGCAAUGGGCGAAAGCCUGACGAAGCGACGCUGUGUGAGCGAUGAAGGCCUUCGGGUUGUAAAGCUCUUUCGCAUAGGGACAAGAGAGUCUGUUGAAUAGGCAGAUAAUUUGAGGGUACUAUGUAAAGAAGCACCGGCUAACUCCGUGCCAGCAGCUGCGGUAAUACGGAGGGUGCAAGCAUUAAUCGGAAUGAUUGGGCGUAAAGGGCGCGUAGGCGGGAUAUAAAGUUAGAUGUGAAAUUCUGAAGCUCAACUUCAGAGCUGCAUUUAAAACUCAUAAUCUAGAGGGAUGGCGGAGGAAACGGAAUUCCACGUGUAGCGGUGAAAUGCGUAGAUAUGUGGAAGAACACCUGUGGCGAAAGCGGUUUUCUAGCUAUUACCUGACGCUGAGGCGCGAGAGCAAGGGGAGCAAACAGGAUUAGAUACCCCCGUAGUCC